CCUACGGGGAGCAGCAGUGGGGAAUAUUGGACAAUGGGCGAAAGCCUGAUCCAGCCAUGCCGCGUGUGUGAAGAAGGCCUUCGGGUUGUAAAGCACUUUCAGUGGGGAAGAAAGCCUUGGGGCUAAUACCCUCGAGGAAGGACAUCACCCACAGAAGAAGCACCGGCUAACUCCGUGCCAGCAGCCGCGGUAAUACGGAGGGUGCGAGCGUUAAUCGGAAUUACUGGGCGUAAAGCGCGCGUAGGCGGUCUGAUAAGCCGGUUGUGAAAGCCCCGGGCUCAACCUGGGAACGGCAUCCGGAACUGUCAGGCUAGAGUGCAGGAGAGGAAGGUAGAGUUCCCGGUGUAGCGGUGAAAUGCGUAGAGAUCGGGAGGAAUACCAGUGGCGAAGGCGGCCUUCUGGACUGACACUGACGCUGAGGUGCGAAAGCGUGGGUAGCAAACAGGAUUAGAUACCCGAGUAGUC
rnacentral:rRNA from 1 species